rnacentral:rRNA from 1 species
GACUAAGCCCAUGCGAGUCAUGGGGUCCCUUCGGGGACACCGGCGGACGGCUCAGUAACACGUCGGUAACCUACCCUCGGGAGGGGGAUAACCCCGGGAAACUGGGGCUAAUCCCCCAUAGGCCUGGGGUACUGGAAGGUCCCCAGGCCGAAAGGGGCUUUUGCCCGCCCGAGGAUGGGCCGGCGGCCGAUUAGGUAGUUGGUGGGGUAACGGCCCACCAAGCCGAAGAUCGGUACGGGCCAUGAGAGUGGGAGCCCGGAGAUGGACACUGAGACACGGGUCCAGGCCCUACGGGGCGCAGCAGGCGCGAAACCUCCGCAAUGCGGGAAACCGCGACGGGGGGACCCCCAGUGCCGUGGCACAGCCACGGCUUUUCCGGAGUGUAAAAAGCUCCGGGAAUAAGGGCUGGGCAAGGCCGGUGGCAGCCGCCGCGGUAAUACCGGCGGCCCAAGUGGUGGCCGCUAUUAUUGGGCCUAAAGCGUCCGUAGCCGGGCCCGUAAGUCCCUGGCGAAAUCCCACGGCUCAACCGUGGGGCUUGCUGGGGAUACUGCGGGCCUUGGGACCGGGAGAGGCCGGGGGUACCCCUGGGGUAGGGGUGAAAUCCUAUAAUCCCAGGGGGACCGCCAGUGGCGAAGGCGCCCGGCUGGAACGGGUCCGACGGUG